rnacentral:rRNA from 1 species
AUACGGAGGGUGCAAGCGUUAUUCGGAAUCACUGGGCGUAAAGGACGCGUAGGCGGGUUGGCAAGUCAGAUGUGGAAUCCUACAGCUUAACUGUAGAACUGCAUUUGAAACUGCUAACCUAGAGUAUGGAAGGGGCAGGUGGAAUUAGUGGUGUAGGGGUAAAAUCCGUAGAUAUCACUAGGAAUACCGAAAGCGAAGGCGACCUGCUGGGACAUUACUGACGCUGAGGCGUGAAAGCGUGGGGAGCAAACAGGAUUAGAAACCCCAGUAGUCC